rnacentral:tRNA from 1 species
GCCGCGGUAGCUCAGCGGUAGAGCGUUGCCCUGAAGAGGCAAGCGUCGGGGGUUCAACUCCCUCCCGCGGCACCG